rnacentral:rRNA from 1 species
AGUGAACGCUGGCGGUAGGCCUAACACAUGCAAGUCGAACGGCAGCACAGUAAGAGCUUGCUCUUACGGGUGGCGAGUGGCGGACGGGUGAGGAAUACAUCGGAAUCUACUUUUUCGUGGGGGAUAACGUAGGGAAACUUACGCUAAUACCGCAUACGACCUACGGGUGAAAGCAGGGGAUCUUCGGACCUUGCGCGAUUGAAUGAGCCGAUGUCGGAUUAGCUAGUUGGCGGGGUAAAGGCCCACCAAGGCGACGAUCCGUAGCUGGUCUGAGAGGAUGAGCGGCCACACUAGAGCGUGAACAGGGACAAGCGUCCUGAGGGAGGGAGCAGUGGGGAAUGGUGGGCAGUGGGGGGAAGCCUUGCCCAACGGUCCGGCGGGGGAGAAAGAGGCUUUGGGUUUGUAAAGCCGUUUUUUGGGGAAAAAAAAGAAGUAGUUUAUGCCCCAGCUUUAGUGACGGUACCCAAUAAAAAAGCCCCGGCUAACUUCGUG